AUGUUCCUGCCCCGUAACCUCCCGCGGUUCGCCAAAGGCGAGCUCCCCCGCACGCCGCCGUCGAGCAAGAAGGAGCUGUUCCGGCGCCUCUCCGACCAGCCAGCUCUCCUCCCACACAAGUUGAUGAGCAUGCAGCUGGACAGGGCUACCGGCGCCCAGCGCUUCACGCUUUCGGCGAGGGCGCUGCAGAACCGGGCACCUGUAGCUUCGCUUUCCAACUGCAGCAAAGGAAACAAAAGGAUCUUCUCCGAAGCCGCUCAGUUCUAUCGUGUCAAUGAGUUGGAGAUCCGGGCCAAGGUACAAAGGAAGAUGCUCUCACAGAACACAACAUAUGCCGUAUACUUGGUGUUCAAGCUAGAAUAUGUAUACUAUGAGUUCGGAUUCCCGUACGAGGUGGCCUCCGUUGGUGUUGCUGGGAGGGAGUCGACCCGACUAGUUUCCGUGCAAGGCAACAUCAAGGAUGGAGAUGGGGAUGGCAAUGCGCCUCAUAGACACAUCUUUCAAGGUUGCAGAGGGACUCUUAGUUGUGACGCAAUUACUUCAGGAGAGGACAUUCAUUUCCCUCGUGAAAAUGCCGAUGGCUGGAUGGAAGUGGAGUUGGGUGAGUUCCAUAAUGACGAAGCCGACGAUGGUGGUGAGGUGUCCAUCAGCUUCACGGGAGAAAGCAAGUCUUGUCUUAAAGUGUUGGGCAUUGAACUCAUAAGUAAGCAACAAAAGCCUACAUAA
rnacentral:rRNA from 1 species